CCAGACCCAAAUCGUGAAGCUUCUUCACGUAUCCUCUCCCUUUCUGCCAUGGCCACCUAGAAAAUCAAAACCAGAGAAAUCCUUAAAUGCGCGAACUCAAAUCCUACAAAUCAACUCAUUUCCUCACUGCCACCAUGUUCCUCGCAAUCACCAGACUUGUAAAACCAAUUUUCGCUAUUAAUGCACCUCCAGAAACCUGCAACCAGAAACACAAAAGCAAUAAAACACAGUAAACCCC
rnacentral:lncRNA from 1 species